rnacentral:rRNA from 3 species
AAAUUGAAGAGUUUGAUCAUGGCUCAGAUUGAACGCUGGCGGCAGGCCUAACACAUGCAAGUCGAACGGUAACAGGAAGCAGCUUGCUGCUUCGCUGACGAGUGGCGGACGGGUGAGUAAUGUCUGGGAAACUGCCUGAUGGAGGGGGAUAACUACUGGAAACGGUAGCUAAUACCGCAUAAUGUCGCAAGACCAAAGAGGGGGAC